rnacentral:misc_RNA from 1 species
UUGACUAUUGUGCAAUACGCUCAGACGACAAGUUAUGAGAGUUAGGGGUCCUCUGGCGGGCCAGGCGGGCCAUCGCGGGGCAGGCUGCCAGAUCGCAGUGCCCCCCGUGCCCCAACCGGGCGCCGCCAAAGCAACAGAGGUAGGUAGGCAAGGGUGGGAGAUGUGCCCAAGGGCACUGUCUCUUUAAUGAUCCUUCCGCAGGUUCACCUACGGAAA